rnacentral:misc_RNA from 1 species
AGAGUUUACCGUUCAAAAUGGUUCUCCCAAAUUUAGUUCGAGGCCUAUAAAUAUAUCUCAAAGAGCCUCGCGAGCUCUUCACAUUACCAUUCCCUCCCUUUUUGUGUCUUCACAAAUCCACCAUUCUUCUACCUUUGACAAUUUUGUAAGACCAAGUUACCAGAAAUCCAUGGGGACUGUUGUCGAGUCUGCUAACCAGGGAGCAGUAAGCCUGCCAACCAACAAGAAGGUCACUGUUAUCUUUGUUCUAGGUGGCCCAGGCAGUGGUAAGGGCACCCAAUGUGCUAAUAUUGUUGAACACUUUGGGUACACCCAUCUAAGUGCUGGUGAUCUUCUCCGAGCAGAAAUAAAAUCUGGUUCCGAGAAUGGGACGAUGAUUUCGAACAUGAUUAAAGAAGGGAAGAUUGUUCCGUCAGAGGUAACAGUUAAGCUUCUCCAACGAGCAAUUCAGGAAAAUGGCAAUGACAAAUUUCUUAUUGAUGGUUUCCCCCGGAAUGAGGAGAAUCGUGCUGCUUUUGAGUUGGUCACUGGAAUUGAGCCUGAGUUUGUGCUCUUCUUUGAUUGUCCUGAAGCAGAGAUGGAGAAACGCCUUUUAGGUCGGAACCAGGGAAGAGAAGAUGAUAAUAUUGAAACAAUAAAGAAGCGAUUCAACGUUUACAUGGAAUCUAGUCUACCUGUUAUUGAACAUUACAACUCCAAGGGGAAGGUUCGAAAGAUUGAUGCUGUAAAGCCUGUUGGAGAAGUAUUUGAAGCCGUUAAAGCUGUUUUUGCCCCAUCUAAUGAGAAGGUUGCUGCCUGAGAAUUCAUUAGUAGAGAGGCAUCACAAUUAAUUGUUAUGGUUGUUUGAAUAUUGGUGCUUGCUGUGUGUCUUCAGCAGCAAAACGAUGCAUCUUUAUAGAUUCUACUUUUUGAUACGAGUUUAUGCAAAAUUUUCUUUGUUUUUCCUCUAAUUUUUUUGUUUCUUUUGAAGGAAACACAAUGUUGUAUUAUUAGUUUAUCG